UGAGCUCCAUCGUGAGGAAGCAAACUUAGAACAGUGUGUUUCGCCCGCUACAAACAGUGCCCAGGAAGCUCUGUGACCAAGAUCCAGGAAACCCAUUGCUUCACCAUCCACCCCCACGACUGGGUCAGACACCUGAACAUGCCCAGAUGAGCGUUCCUGUGAUCGCAUGAACUGAAGGCCCAACCGGAUAUGAACAAGAUGAAGACCCUGUUGUCAGGUGACUUUGAGAGGAAGGAAUGAGGCGAUGAAGACCUGCCUCAUUGUUCAUCAGAUGUCCUACCUGAAGAGCCGCGUUCAGUUCUCAGAAACAGCAGGGUAGAAGAAGAGAACCAACUUCCGAAUAAAUUGUCCUCUGAUCUCCA